UGACCGUAACGAUACCAACUAGCGUUCCGCCGCUGGCAAACACGCCUUGGCGGGCAGCUUCCCGGAGACGAAAGUUUUUCGGUUCCGGGGGAAGUAUGGUUGCAAAGCUGAAACUUAAAGAAAUUGACGGAAGGGCACCACCAGGAGUGAAGCCUGCGGCUUAAUUUGACUCAACACGGGAAAACUCACCUGGCCCGGACACCGUGAGGAUUGACAGAUUGAGAGCUCUUUCUUGAUUCGGUGGUUGGUGGUGCAUGGCCGUUCUUAGUUGGUGGAGUGAUUUGUCUGGUUUAUUCCGAUAACGAGCGAGACUCUAGCCUACUAAAUAGUUACUGGAUAAUUGCGUCCAGAAGACUUCUUAGAGGGACAAGCGGUGUUCAGCCGCACGAAGCUGAGCAAUAACAGGUCUGUGAUGCCCUUAGAUGUCCAGGGCUGCACGCGCGCUACACUGGAGGAAUCAGCGCGCUGUAACCAUUGCCGAAAGGCAUUGGUAACCCCUUGAAAAUCCUCCGUGAUCGGGAUCGGGAAUUGCAAUUAUUUCCCUUGAACGAGGAAUUCCUAGUAAGUGUGAGUCAUCAGCUCACGUUGAUUACGUCCCUGCCCUUUGUACACACCGCCCGUCGCUGCCCGGGACUGAGCCGUUUCGAGAAAUGCGGGGACUGCUGUUUCGAUACCUUUCGGGGUGGAG
rnacentral:rRNA from 1 species